UAUAUCGGCACCACCGAAAAUUGACGUGUGUUUGGCAUUUGAGAUCAAAUCAGCUACUUCAUCUUGUAAUGACUUGUUAUAAAAUGAUGGCUCCAUCUUCUUCUCUUCACCAUUUAUUUUAUACAAGAUCACCUUUAUUGAUUCCAUUUCGGUAUUUGAAGUGUUCUUGAUGAAUUGCAAAGAAGAAGAGUGAUGGAUUUGGUUAAUCAUUCAAUUGAGUCUUGAUGUAAAUUCUAGAGAAAUAUCUGAUACGCUUAAUGGUGCAAAUGAGUCUGAUGUAUAUUUCGGAGAAUUAUUUUAUCACGAUAAUACAAGAUAAUUCUCUGGAAUUUACAUCAGACUCAUUUACAUUAUAUAUAUUAGAGUUCAAAAAUUAUUGAAAGAAUGGUGGAUGCUGCAAGGACACUGCUUCACCUGCGACAGGAGGGCGUUCAGCGCCUGAAAAUCGUCCUUAGCAACAGCGGACAGCGUUGCAACCGAAGACAUACCGAACCCUCCCCAAAGCCAAUCGUCGCCGAUUUAACCUCCCAUGCAAGCUACGGAAAUGUCCUUCAACUCGGAUUAAGAUUAAAGAAGAGGAAAUCUCUAUUUUAAGCAAGUAUCCUCCACCCAAAUAGAUUGCCAAAAAGAAGUUGAGAAACCAUCACUAAUACGAAAUCUACAAUUGUUCACAAACAAACUCUCCAGAUAAUACUUGUCAAGACAAGAAAAAUCCCUCCGCCAAGUAGACAUGUUAUUAUGUUUCUUUUGAAAACCUCCAAAAUUCUCGACCUUCAAAUUAAUAUCUCCAUAACGAGCCUUUAGGACCCUAUACCACAAAGCAUCAAAUUUUCCCAAAAUCCUCCACCUUCACUUUUGGAGAAGAGCAUAAUUAAAAUCAUCGAUUCUUAAUAAAUCUAUUGGAAGACAAAUGUCCCUUCAACUCAUCUAACGAAUCUUUUUACACUCCGUCAAACUUCCUAAAAAAAUCAUUUUGAAUCUUAAUAAUCUCCUUAAUAAUUUUAACCGGAACAUUAUAAAAAGAAAGCAUAAAAAUUAAAAGACUAGACAAAGAAUUAAACAAUUAAAUCAAAUAAAUAAAAAUAGGAAGAAACUUAUAUGUGUGGAUAGUAUUAGUGAUUAGAAAUUGGUAGUGGCGUGUAGUGGGAAUUCACGUGUUAGUGAAGAAUGAAGAAAAAAUUUGGUAUGGUGGUUUUGAGUUGAAAAGGUCAAUAUCUCGCUACUAAAAUAAAUAAAACGUUUAAAUAAUAGUACCAAAUUGACUAAAUCAA